rnacentral:rRNA from 1 species
AUGGCGGCCGCUAUAGCUGCUGGGAGAGGCCGCCGCGAAAUCGUUUCUCCCGCGAUUUUAAUCUAUGGUGGUUACCCGGAAUUCGAGGUCAGCUGCCUUGAGAACCGUACUACUCCAGUGAUACUGAACUCUGCAGCCAUCAGCUUGGGCUUUGCGAUCCUCAACAUCUCCUACGAGGAGCGCAGCUUGCACGUCGUCGAUCUGGGCAAGAGCUACUUGUUACAGCACGCCCCCAACAGCUGCCAAGUGCCCAUCUGGAACACCUCCGCCAAGCUGAGCGCCCAGUUCAGAAUCAACCCUGGCAACCUGGAACUCAUCUUUUACAGUUGCCCCGAGGCGGCCGGAGCAGCGGCUCUGGCAGAGGACGGGGAGCUGGUGCGGACGGGGAUGGGGUGCGGGAACAAGAGCAAGGUGUUCGUCCGCGCCGGAGGGCGUUACAACGAUACGGGCGGCUACGAGGGCUGUGACGCGGCCGUCACGCCGGUGCUGGGGACGUGGUCAGGCGAGGUGAACGCGAGCGACUACGAGCGUCUCAUUAGCGAUGGCUUCCUCUUGACAUGGGAGAGCGCCCCUACAUGUAAGUUCACCCGUCAAAUCAAAUCAUCUUUUCAUCAACGGUCCUGGCUAACUAGAAUCAAUCAUGGCACUCACUUAUUGAGGAUAAGGCCGUAG